rnacentral:rRNA from 1 species
AGCGGCAGGCUUAACACAUGCAAGUCGAGGGGCAGCACGGGUAGCAAUACCUGGUGGCGACCGGCGCAAGGGUGCGUAACGCGUGAGCAACAUGCCCUAUACAGGGGGAUAAUCCAGGGAAAACUUGGUCUAAUAUCCCAUAGUAUUUAGAGGAGGCAUCUUCUAUAAAUUAAAGCUUCGGUGGUAUAGGAUUGGCUCGCGUGACAUUAGCUAGAUGGUGAGGUAACGGCUCACCAUGGCAAUGAUGUCUAGGGGUUCUGAGAGGAAGGCCCCCCACACUGGGACUGAGACACGGCCCAGACUCCUACGGGAGGCAGCAGUGAGGAAUAUUGGACAAUGGAUGGAAAUCUGAUCCAGCCAUGCCGCGUGCAGGAAGACAGCCCUAUGGGUUGUAAACUGCUUUUAUAUGGGAGCAAUAAGGUCUACGUGUAGACUGAUGAGAGUACCAUAUGAAUAAGCAUCGGCUAACUCCGUG